GAUACCCUGGAAGAAGUGCCUUCCAGAAAUUAAAAAGCCCAGAGCCACAAUUGGAGCCGGAUCCCCCGGAGAGCUUCAGAAUGUAAAGGAAGAGGAGGAGACACCAGAGCUCUCUCUCUCUGUCUGUACAGAGAAACGGUCAUGUGAGGACACAGUGAGAAGGUGGCCAUCUACAAGGCUUAAUGGCAUUUCCUUCUGGUGAGUGAAGAAUUUAAAAUCCAGAAAUGAGUUGGUGAAGGAAUUA